GAUGGAAAAAACUGGGUCCAUCUUUAAGAGCUGCCAAGUGAACCAGGAACCACCCAUCCCCUGCAGGAAGGAACUGUUGUGUCAUUAAUAAUACUUAGCAUUGUCCUAGUGUUUUUCCAAGCUAAUUAAUUCUGCUCCAAAUCCCAGAAAACAAACGACUGAGUGAGUUGGAGACAGAUCUCGUUUCUGAGACAGAAGGGUAGAGAAGCGUGUCCUCUGCAGUGACUGGGGGAAGAGAAAAGCCUCAUCACCACUUCUUAGAGCCAAGUUACCCAGGGCAAGGAAAGGGCAUUGAGUCCUGGGGAUGGUGGGUACUUACCUCCCUAUCUGCAAGAUCUUUAAACAGGAACAGUCACCCAAAGUUGCAGAUACAAGAAGGCUCACCCAUCCCUAGGACACAUUGCCCAGAAGUGGCAGGUGUUGGUAAGCUGGCUUCAUGGUCCAGAUGGAAAAGUUUAUCCUUCUCUCUCUCCCUAGAGCACGGGACAAAGCUCAUGUGCCAGGACAUGACAUGUAGCUGACUGGUCAACUCUGUGCCAUUUAACUCCAUGGAUACUUACUUUACAGACCAGAAUCUGGGAACACCAAGAAUCCAACUCCAACUCCUCCCUUCAUGGGAGUGCAGAGUCAAGUGUGAGAGACCAAAAAGGCAGAAAGUUUCAUUGUAAAGAGAAAUACUCAGAUGAGGGAGUACAAAGGAUGUGAGGCAGUAUGGAAAGGAUUCCUGGAAAAGAAUAUUUUGAGCUGUUUGGAAAGAUGAUUAAAAACAACAAAACAAAGAAAUGGACAGAGGACUUAAAGUCAAGAGGCUUAAAGUCAAGAAAGGGCAAAGCACAUUCAGGAACUUGAACAUAGUUCCUUGGAGAGUUGGGGAAUUUCAGUUUGACAAUGACUCCUGUCAUCACAAAGGAAAGAAAGGCUCGUGACAAGACAAACAAGUGUACAAAUAUGUACAGCACGCAAUGAGGGCCCAGAGGAAGAAAGAAAGAUUAAAGGAUAGGAGAGACUACUUUUGCCUUGAGGGGAAGAAAGAAGUCAGGGGCUGGCUAACAGGGGGUGUGGAAGCCUGCAAACUACACUUCAUAGGCUGUGAUCAGCUGCCUUCUGGUUGGGCUCUGCCAGUGAAAAGCCUUGGGACAGGACUCAAAUGCUGGAGGGAAGGAGAAGUUUGAUUUUGCAUUGUUUUGGUUUUGUUUUACCCCUGCUUUCACAAAUGCCUCCCCGAGUGGUGACACAUCAGCGGAAGUGCAACUUCUGGCCCCCUGCACAGCUUCAGGGACCAUCUGAUAGCAGUAACAGCAACUGCACCUCCAGAAGAUCAGAAGCACAUGCAGGCUGGGCUUCUGUCAAAGGCUGGGAAGAGCUCCCUGGCCUCUGAGUUUCUCCCUUCUCCCUUUUACUCUUCUACCUCUUCCAAAAGAUUGUAACCAACUCCCUGUAUUAAAUCCCUCUCUGCUGGAAAUACCUCCAGUGCAAUCUACUUUCUUAACUGAGCACUGAUGGGUACACCAUUUAAUGCACAAGGAGACCGAGGUACAGAGAGGUUAAGUAACUUGUCCCAAGGCAAACAGCUAGGAAGUAACAUAAAGCACAGAUAAAGAAAAAGAAAAAAAACAAGGUAUUGAAUUAAGUCAAGGUUUCUUAAGCAUGUCAUGCAAAGCCCUUCAUAAUUACCUUCCUCUCUCCAUCCAUAUUCUAUGGUCUAGCUGGAAAGUGACACCUAGCUGGAGAUUGUGCUUUGUUGUUGUUUUUGUUAAUGAAUGAAGGAAUGAAUGCCAGAUGUACCAUACUUGUGUAAAACCCCAGCAGGAAAUGUGACUGCAGUGGACAUUGGAUGAAUCAGUGAAUAAAUAAAUAAUAAACAAAUGAAUAAACUCCAAGCACACAACAAAUCAACCUGGGUAGCAAUUUCCUGCCUCUGUGUUCCUCCCGCCCUCAGACUCAGAGCCCUGAUGCAUCCAAGAGACUGAAUGUUCACAUCACUUAUACAGAGUAAGCAUGCGAUAAAUGCAUAUUUAUUAAACUAAUGAAGAGAAGAAUCCAUCAAAAAUGCAAUCAAUCAAGUCAUUGCCCAGUGAUGUUUAAAAUUCUAGUUUAUUGAACCACAAAAAUCUUCCAGGAAGAAGGCACAGAAGAAAACCUUUACAUUUUCCUAAAAACAAAAACCUCUACUAUAACAACCAGCAAAUAAUUAGACGUUAAUGUCUCUAACUUAAAAAAAAAAAAAAAA
rnacentral:lncRNA from 1 species